rnacentral:rRNA from 1 species
AGAGUUUGAUCCUGGCUCAGGAUUAACGCUGGCGAGAGGCAUAACACAUGCAAGUCGAGCGCCCCGCACUUUUUUUACAACUCUAAAACGGUUGCCGAAAAAGUGCGGGGAGCGGCGGACGGCUGAGUAACACGUUGGUACCUACCCUAUACUCAGGGAUAAGCCGGGGAAACCCGGUCUAAUACCGGAUGGUCCUCAUUUACACGAGGUAAAGAUUUAUCGGUAUAGGAGGGGCCUGCGCCCUAUCAGCUAGUUGGUGAGGUAAUAGCUCACCAAGGCAAUGACGGGUAGCUGGUGUGAGAGCAUGACCAGCCAGAAUGGGACUGAGAACGGCCCAUACUCCUACGGGAGGCAGCAGUGAGGAAUCUUCCGCAAUGGACAAAGUCUGACGGAGCCAUCUCGCGUGCAGGAUGACACCCUUCGGGGCGUAAACUGCUUUUCUGAGGGAAGAAAUUCUGACGGUACCUCAGGAAUAAGUGCCUGCUAACUACGUGCCAGCAGCCGCGGUAAUACGUAGGGCACAAGCGUUAUCCGAAAUCACUGGGCGUAAAGCGAUCAAAGGCGGUCUGAUAGGUCUGGCGUUAAAGCCCUCGGCUCAACCGAGGAAUCGUGCUGGAAACCAACAGACUAGAGGAAUGCAGAGGCAGGUAGAAUUCCUAUUGUAGGGGUUAAAUCCGUUGAUAAUAGGAGGAAUACCAAAAGUGAAGACAGCCUGCUGGGCAUUUCCUGACGCUGCUUGAUCGAAAGCGUGGGGAGCAAAACGGAUUAGAUACCCGUGUAGUCCACGCCCUAAACUAUGGAUACUCGGUGUUCGGGGGUCUAAUCCCCCUGAGUGCCCAAGCUAACGCGUUAAGUAUCCCGCCUGAGUAGUACGGUCGCAAGACUAAAACUUAAAGGAAUAGACGGGGAUCCACACAAGCGGUGGAGCAUGUUGUUUAAUUCGACAGUAAGCGAGGAACCUUACCAGGACUUGACAUCCCAAGAACUCUGCCGAAAGGCGGAGGUGCCUUUAUUGGAACUUGGUGACAGGUGUUGCAUGGUCGUCGUCAGCUCGUGCCUUGAGGUGUUCGGUUAAGUCCGAUAACGAGCGCAACCCUCGUCGUAUGUUGUUUUUUUCAUACGAGACUGCCGGUUUCACGCCGGAGGAAGGUGAGGAUGACGUCAGAUCAGCAUGGCCCUUAUGUCCUGGGCUACAAACGUGCUACAAUGGCCGGUACAAAGCGCAGCGAAACAGUAAUGUGGAGCAAAUCGCAUCAAAACCGGUCUCAGUUCGGAUUGAGGUCUGCAACUCGACCUCAUGAAGUUGGAAUCGCUAGUAAACGCCGAUCAGCUACGCGGCGUUGAAUAUGUUCCUGGAUCUCGUACUCACCGCCCGUCAAGUCAUGAAAGGCAGGGGCGCCCGAAGUCGUGUUAUCCCGUUCGCGGGAGCAUGCCUAAGGUGAAACUGCUGAUUGGGACUAAGUCGUAACAAGGUAACC